UAGAGAACGCUGGCGGCGUGCCUAAUACAUGCAAGUCGAGCGGAUUUAUCCUUCGGGAUAAGUUAGCGGCGGACGGGUGAGUAACACGUAGGUAACCUGCCUAUAAGACUGGGAUAACUAUCGGAAACGAUAGCUAAGACCGGAUAAUUGGUUUUCUCGCAUGAGAGAAUUAUGAAACACGGAGCAAUCUGUGGCUUAUAGAUGGGCCUGCGGCGCAUUAGCUAGUUGGUAGGGUAACGGCCUACCAAGGCGACGAUGCGUAGCCGACCUGAGAGGGUGAACGGCCACACUGGGACUGAGACACGGCCCAGACUCCUACGGGAGGCAGCAGUAGGGAAUCUUCCGCAAUGGACGCAAGUCUGACGGAGCAACGCCGCGUGAGUGAUGAAGGUUUUCGGAUCGUAAAGCUCUGUUGCCCUAGACGAACAGCAAGGAGAGUAACUGCUCUUUGUGUGACGGUAUAGGAGAAGAAAGCCCCGGCUAACUACGUGCCAGCAGCCGCGGUAAUACGUAGGGGGCAAGCGUUGUCCGGAAUUAUUGGGCGUAAAGCGCGCGCAGGCGGUCAAUUAAGUUGGGUGUUUAAGCCCGGGGCUCAACCCCGGUUCGCAUCCAAAACUGGUUGACUUGAGUGUAGGAGAGGAAAGUGGAAUUCCACGUGUAGCGGUGAAAUGCGUAGAGAUGUGGAGGAACACCAGUGGCGAAGGCGACUUUCUGGCCUAUAACUGACGCUGAGGCGCGAAAGCGUGGGGAGCAAACAGGAUUAGAUACCCUGGUAGUCCACGCCGUAAACGAUGCAUACUAGGUGUUGGGGAUUCGAUUCCUCGGUGCCGAAGUUAACACAGUAAGUAUGCCGCCUG
rnacentral:rRNA from 1 species